GGGCCUGUAGCUCAGGGGAUAGAGCGGCCGCCUCCUAAGCGGCAGGUCGGGGGUUCGAAUCCCUUCAGGCCCGCCA
rnacentral:tRNA from 1 species